CCUACAUGUUAAUACAUAAAGUAUCUAGAAAAUCAAAUGAAAAAUCAUAUGUUAAAUAGGACAAAAUAAAUUUUUCUUAUCUGCAACCACAUGAGCAGGGUCGGUCCUGACAUUUUUUAGACCUAGGGCUAAAUAAAAAAAUGGGACAUUCUCUAUUAAAAAUUAACAUACUUUAAAUAUUAAUUAUCAUUAAAAAAUUAAUCUACGUGCAAUAAUUUUCUAUAGAUAUAUUCGUUAAGCAGUGUAUAAAAUCUAUCAUUAACUUAUUUAAUUAUUUUUCUUGUUAUAAUAUUGUAGAAAGUCAUCUUUGCAUCCUAUUGGAACAUCAAUACAAGAUCUAGGCCUGGGGCGGUCGCCCAAUUUGACCUGCCCCAGGACCGGCCCUGCACAUGAGCUUCUUUGCGGUCAGAAAAUAAAGAUAAUCUCAAGCUAUAAAGCAUAUAGCUGAAAGAUUAGAAAUUUGUUCCAAAAGUAAGAACAAAAUCUUUUUAUGCAAUGCUAGCAUUAUCCUUUUAGGUAAUUAUCUAGAAGCGAAGGAAGCAAAUAGAUUCUGAAGAGUGAAUAA
rnacentral:lncRNA from 1 species